CUUCCUUUUUUACUUUUCACAGUAUUUCCUAUUGUUGUUCCACAAGAGCCUGAGAUUUCUCCUUCUCCUCGUCUGCUGUGGAAAAUUGUUGUUGUUUCACUGAUGGCUCUGCUGUUGGUGUUGGGAUCAUGGUACUGUGUCAAAAGUUACAGGCACAGAGCUCCCUGCCUGUCCACAGUCACACCUGCAUCAGUCCCAGCUGAGAAUCAAACAGGUUGGAAGACAAAUCAUUUGUUAGUAUCCAACUGUAGGCGUCUUAUAUAAAGCUGCUGUUUACACGUAAAUAUGUAGAAAUGUAGUCACCUUGCUUUGUUUAAUAUGCUCUGAUUUAGAAAAUGCUCUUUAAUGUUAAAAAACAUCUUGUUAUAAACUGCAUGUUGUUAAGCAGACGUCAGUGUAAUUGUCUUUGAUUUGGGCUCUGCUGCUGUUUGGGUUUUUUUUAGCCCCUGUAACAUCGAGUGCACCUGACACAGGAAGAGCAACAUAUUCUGCUGUGACAAAAAUCAGGAAGGAAAAAGGUACAUCAUCUGACGUUACUUGGUGUUUCUGGAGUACAUCUAUAAUGUGACAUGAACACUGACACUAACAGCAGCUAAAAAUACAACCACAAGAACAAAGUGGUACAUGAACGUACAUUAGGUACUUCUGGUGUCGUGUCAGUCUUCGUUGGUUGCUUCUGAUAAAUGUGUAGAUGCUGAUGAUAAUUUGAGCUUCCUGGAAUCCAUCAACAGAGGAAAACCACAAAGAAAACCGGUCUAAAGUACAUGCAGAGUGGAGGUCACGAACUGGUUUUAUACACCAUAGAAAGUCGCUGGUGUUUAAUGAAACUUAUGAUAUAAACUCAGUUUAAAGUUAAAAUCUCUGUUUGAUUGUUUUGUCUUUAAAAGGAACAUAAAUUAAUGAGGUCAAUAGGCUCAGGUGGAUUUAUUAUCUUUUUGAUAAGAAAUAAAGAUGUGAGAGCAAACGCCUGAGGGUUUGACCAUCACUUGUUCAGCAGAAUUCACCUGCAUAUUUCAGACCAGAUGUUGUUCAGACAGAAACACAAAGUAUCAACACAGUUCAACCACUGGGAUCAUCUGGUGCUUAAACCAAACAUUCAUCCAAAGUAGAAAACCUGUAACUGUACUUGGGUUAACUGAGACGUAAAAAUGAGCAUCAUCUGCAUAAUAAUGAUAAAACUAGAACUAAUUAGAAAAAGUAUAGAUGAAAUAAAACAAUUUUGUGUUGUUACCAUGAAGUUGUGAAUUAGUAAAAACUCCAAAAAGUUUGUGCAAGAUAAAACUAAAAUGAGAGAAAAAGAGAACAAAUAAAUAUUGAUAUGAUAUUCAGUCAGCUAACGUUGCCUUUCUCCAUCAGAUGCGGAUGAGUUUUAUUCCAGACCAGUUUACUACUCGUUAAGCAUGGGUGAUGCUCAGGCACUGGGUGAGACUGUGAUUAAAGAAACUUUUCAGAAAGACCAGAAAUUGGACAAUACAAUGAGUUAAACAAAGGUCAAAGGAAAGACUAUUUUGACAAAAUACAGAUCUUUUUUUUUUUUUUUUUUUUUUUUUUCCAAACAGAACUUGGAGCAUCCAGUAUCAUGGACAGGUCUGGUCCCUCAGCAGGUACUCGGACCUCUUUAACAGAAGAUGCCUGCUACUCUACAAUCCAGUAGGUAGGUGGGAUGGAUGCCUGCAGCGAUUCAGGCCACUGGACACAUCAGUAUGUUUGCUUGAUUACAAAGUUGGUUUGGUGACGAUGUGAGUUUGGGUUUAAUCGUAUUGUGCUGUAUGUUCAGUUUGACAAAAAGCAGCCAUGUUGGUUUGGUUCUCAGGCCAAGCAGCUUUCAGAUUUGCUGAAUUGUAAAUGCAACUCAGAAAUGAAACGUGAUGCUAUUUACAAGUUCUAAACUCAUUUUUACAAUAACUCAGUAGGACUUGAAUGCAGCAUUAGUUAUUGAUUUAUUCCUAACUUCAUGUUGCUUGAAUGAAGAAGAAAAUUCAUCUUUCAUGUUAAAAAUGUAAGAUUAUAUGUAAGUUCAUGUGAAAUAAUUUAUAUGGUAGAAUUUGAUAAAUCAAUCAAACAAGUCUGGAUUCAAGUAUUUACAGGCCAUUUGUGACUUUCUGUAUUGCAUGAAGGAGCUUUGACUGUAAUGUAUGACCUGUACACCCUGUGAGUAUUAGAGCUUAUUAAUGGAGCAGGCUGAUCUUAAGAAGAUUCACACUCUGCCUAAAUUACCAAGUCAAAUGUAAAGCCUGUAAAAACAUGUGUACAGAUGUGUACAAAUCAUGUAUAAAUGAUGCAAAACAAUAAUGGAAGGAUGAAGCAAACUUCAUAUGAGUGGUGUUAAGUUAUUACUUUAGAUUUCACUGUCUAUAUUUAACAAACUGAAACUACGUCAAACAUCUGAAGCUCUGUGAAAUGGGCUCAUCUGAAGGCUGUGGCUAAUUCACACAGCUUUCAGUUUCUAACAGUAAAACCAACUUGUCCUAUUUGCUUCUUCUGCCCACAUGCAUGAGAACAUAUUUCACAAGCUCCAUGCUGCUCGCUGUGGUCUCCCUCUGCACACUUUCUGUUUUUGUUUGACUUCGUGGUCAGAAACACAGUU
ensembl:lncRNA